ACCUGGUUGAUCCUGCCAGAGGCGACCGCUAUUGGAGUUCGAUUAAGCCAUGCGAGUAGAAAGAAAUUAGAUUCUUUGCAUACUGCUCAGUAAAACGUGGAUAACCUGCCCUACACUGGGGGAUAACCUCGGGAAACUGAGAAUAAUACCCCAUAGACCACAACGCCUGGAACGGUGUGUGGUUGAAAGCUCAGGCGGUGUAGGAUGGGUCUGCGGCGUGUCAGGUCGUAGGGGGUGUAAUGGACCUCCUAGCCAUCGACGCGUACGGGUUGUGGGAGCAAUAGCCCGGAGACGGAUUCUGAGACACGAAUCCGGACCCUACGGGGUGCAGCAGGCGCGAAAACUUCACACUGCAGGCAACUGUGAUGAGGGAACUCCAAGUGACUGCACAUUGUGUAGCCUUUUCUUGAAUUUUAAUAGUUCUUGGAAUAAGGGCUGGGAAAGACCGGUGCCAGCCGCCGCGGUAAUACCGGCAGCUCAAGUGGUCGUCGCUUUUAUUGGGCCUAAAACGUCCGUAGCCUGUUUGGUAAA
rnacentral:rRNA from 1 species